rnacentral:lncRNA from 1 species
CUUUUUUAGGACAGCGAGGAAGAAAAUGAUUUAAAUAUAAGAAGUAGGCGCUUAGCCCGACAGUUCGACGAUGAUGACAAUGAAGAGGAAAGAAUUUCUCCAAAAAUAUAUAAACUAAACCCCAAUAAAGAGGCUGUGGAUGCGCUCAAGUAUCUUAGAGUACCGAUAGCACCCUUUGUAGACACGUACGCCAUCACUGCAUUUACGCUGGACAAGUUGGUUGGAAGGCAGCUCUUAGAGUCAGAACUACUCAGUGAUGUGUUGGAGGAACUUAAAUCUCAGCUAUCGUCUGGAGGAAUAAAAUAUGGAGAAAGCGUUUCAGUCGAUACGAUAAAGAACGCCCUAAAGCUUUACCAACACUGGGGUAUUCUCGAGUGCCAUUCGGAGAAAAAGAUGAGGUUGUACUAUCUCCAAGAAAGCCAGGACGAUUCUGAGUGCAUUUCCGCAUUGUAUCAAAGGGUACAAAAGUUCCGGUAACAAGUGACUAGAGGCCUUAGUACGAGAUAUACGUAAUGUGAA